rnacentral:rRNA from 1 species
GAUGAACGCUGGCGGUAUGCUUAACACAUGCAAGUCGAACGGACUCUUCGGAGUUAGUGGCGGACGGGUGAGUAACGCGUGAGAAUCUGGCUUUGGGUUCGGGACAACCACUGGAAACGGUGGCUAAUACCGGAUGUGCCGAGAGGUAAAAGAGAAAUUGCCUGAAGAUGAGCUCGCGUCUGAUUAGCUAGUUGGUGAGGUAAAGGCUCACCAAGGCAGCGAUCAGUAGCUGGUCUGAGAGGAUGACCAGCCACACCGGGACUGAGACACGGCCCAGACUCCUACGGGAGGCAGCAGUGGGGAAUUUUCCGAAAUGGGCGAAAGCCUGACGGAGCAAUACCGCGUGAGGGAAGAAGGCUCUUGGGUUGUAAACCUCUUUUCUUAGGGAAGAACAAAAUGACGGUACCUAAGGAAUCAGCAUCGGCUAACUCCGUG